rnacentral:ncRNA from 1 species
AUUUCCCAAUUUUUUGUCGGCGUUCCCUUUACCGCACAAAUGGAUAAUCUGAUACUUCUCUAAUAGUGAUGACAAAUUUUCACGAAGCGCAUCAUUAAUAAUAACGGAACCUAAGCUUCCUCCCAUGACAAGCAGUACUUUUUUUUCGGCUGUAAAUCCACAUAACGCCAAGC